rnacentral:piRNA from 1 species
UCCCCUCACGAUUAUGAAUCAGGGUGAUGC